UACAGAGGGUGCGAGCGUUGUCCGGAAUCACUGGGCGUAAAGGGCGCGUAGGUGGUGGCUUAAGCGUGCGGUGAAAGCUCGGGGCUCAACUCCGAGUCGGCCGUGCGAACUGGGCUCACUGGAGCAUAGUAGAGGCAGGUGGAAUUCCGGGUGUAGCGGUGGAAUGCGUAGAGAUCCGGAAGAACACCGGUGGCGAAGGCGGCCUGCUGGGCUAUGGCUGACACUGAGGCACGAAAGCGUGGGGAGCAAACAGG
rnacentral:rRNA from 1 species